CUACGUGCCAGCAGCCGCGGUAAUACGUAGGUCCCGAGCGUUAUCCGGAUUUAUUGGGCGUAAAGCGAGCGCAGGCGGUUAGAUAAGUCUGAAGUUAAAGGCUGUGGCUUAACCAUAGUACGCUUUGGAAACUGUUUAACUUGAGUGCAAGAGGGGAGAGUGGAAUUCCAUGUGUAGCGGUGAAAUGCGUAGAUAUAUGGAGGAACACCGGUGGCGAAAGCGGCUCUCUGGCUUGUAACUGACGCUGAGGCUCGAAAGCGUGGGGAGCAAACAGGAUUAGAUACCCUGGUAGUCCGCACAGUAAACGAUGGAUGCCCGCUGUUGGUACCUGGUAUCAGCGGCUAAGCGAAAGCAUUAAGCAUCCCACCUGGGGAGUACGCCGGCAACGGUGAAACUCAAAGGAAUUGACGGGGGCCCGCACAAGCGGAGGAACAUGUGGUUUAAUUCGAUGAUACGCGAGGAACCUUACCCGGGCU
rnacentral:rRNA from 1 species